CUGGCUCAGGAUGAACGCUAGCGGCAGGCCUAACACAUGCAAGUCGAGGGGUAACAGGGAGCUUGCUCCGCUGACGACCGGCGCACGGGUGCGCAACGCGUAUGCAAUCUACCUCUUACUAGGGGAUAGCCCAGAGAAAUUUGGAUUAAUACCCUAUAUUAUAUGGAGUCGGCAUCGGCAUUAUAUUAAAGGUUACGGUAAGAGAUGAGCAUGCGUCCCAUUAGUUAGUUGGUAAGGUAACGGCUUACCAAGACUUCGAUGGGUAGGGGUCCUGAGAGGGAGAUCCCCCACACUGGUACUGAGACACGGACCAGACUCCUACGGGAGGCAGCAGUGAGGAAUAUUGGACAAUGGGCGGAAGCCUGAUCCAGCCAUGCCGCGUGCAGGAAGACUGCCCUAUGGGUUGUAAACUGCUUUUAUACGGGAAGAAUAAGGUCUACGUGUAGACUGAUGACGGUACCGUAAGAAUAAGGACCGGCUAACUCCGUGCCAGCAGCCGCGGUAAUACGGAGGGUCCGAGCGUUAUCCGGAAUUAUUGGGUUUAAAGGGUCCGUAGGCGGGCUGUUAAGUCAGGGGUGAAAGUUUGCAGCUCAACUGUAAAAUUGCCUUUGAUACUGGCGGUCUUGAGUUAUAUUGAAGUGGCUAGAAUAUGUAGUGUAGCGGUGAAAUGCAUAGAUAUUACAUAGAAUACCGAUUGCGAAGGCAGGUCACUAAGUAUUAACUGACGCUGAUGGACGAAAGCGUGGGUAGCGAACAGGAUUAGAUACCCUGGUAGUCCACGCCGUAAACGAUGGAUACUAGCUGUGUGGUUUUCGGACUGCGCGGCCAAGCGAAAGUGAUAAGUAUCCCACCUGGGGAGUACGUUCGCAAGAAUGAAACUCAAAGGAAUUGACGGGGGCCCGCACAAGCGGUGGAGCAUGUGGUUUAAUUCGAUGAUACGCGAGGAACCUUACCAGGGCUUAAAUGUAGAUUGACAGGUUUAGAGAUAGACUUUCCUUCGGGCAAUUUACAAGGUGCUGCAUGGUUGUCGUCAGCUCGUGCCGUGAGGUGUCAGGUUAAGUCCUAUAACGAGCGCAACCCCUGUCGUUAGUUGCCAGCAUGU
rnacentral:rRNA from 1 species